rnacentral:rRNA from 1 species
AGCGAACGCUGGCGGCGUGCCUAACACAUGCAAGUCGAACGUGAAAAGGGAAACCUGAGUAAAGUGGCGUACGGGUGAGUAACGCGUAGGUAAUCUACCCCAGAAUCUGGAAUAACCUGCCGAAAGGCGGGCUAAUACUGGAUAGAGCGAGGGAACUCGUAAGAGAGUUUUUCGGGAAAGGGAGCCCGCAAGGGCCUUCGUUCUGGGAUGAGCCUGCGUCUCAUUAGCUAGUUGGUAAGGUAACGGCUUACCAAGGCGAUGAUGAGUAGCUGGUCUGAGAGGAUGAUCAGCCACACUGGAACUGAAACACGGUCCAGACUCCCACGGGAGGCAGCAGUGGGGAAUCUUGCGCAAUGGACGAAAGUCUGACGCAGCCACGCCGCGUGAGUGAAGAAGGCCUUCGGGUUGUAAAGCUCUGUCGGAUGGGACGAACAUCUUCAUAGUGAAUAGCUAUGAGGACUGACGGUACCAUCAAAGGAAGCACCGGCUAACUCCGUG